CCUUACGAGCCUUUUAUCUCUCUUUACUUCUCUGCAAAAUAAAAUUCGUUAUCCUCCAAACACCACGAACCAGAAAUUCCAUCGAUUCCAAAACCUCAUCUACAUCUCUCUUUAUUCCUUUACCAUUUUAGUUUUCUCUCACAACUUCUUUCACAGCUGAUCGAAAUCUCUAUCUUUCUAUCGAUUUUUUUCUCACUCAAAAUCAUUAAGGGUAGAGAUUCUUUUCAAUUGAAUCAUGAAGAAACUAGGUUAUAGAUUCUUCUCAAUUGAUUCAUGAAGAAACUAGGGUAUAGAUUCUUCUCAAUUGAGUCAUGAAGAAAUUUAGGGUUCUUACAAUGAAAUUUAUUUUCCAAAAAAAUUAUUCAUUACAACUAUUUUUCUCUGAUUCAUAAGGUUAAUUUAUUGUAAUACUCCAUCUAUUUCUGUUUUUGUUUCUUUAAUUUUUUUUAUGAUGAGUUGAAAUCUGAUUUUUGGUUUGUUGUUAAAGUCAGAUUUGAUCCUAUAGGUAUCGAGAUUAUUAUUAGAUCAACACAUACUCAAGAUUUUCUUCGGUAUGUCAUUUGUCUCUCAGCGUGUCUUUUGUUUUAAGAUUUUGGGGAUUUUUGUCGCUGGAUUGUUGGUGUAGUUUGCGGCGUGGAUUGUUGUUUCGAAUCUGCAUAAGAAUACAAAAAAAUAGUUUAGGAGAUGAUUCAUGUACAAGAAUCUGAAUGGUGGUUCUUGACUGAAGGCUCCUCUUAUUGCCAAUGAUGUUGAGAUAAUCAUGAAGGUAAU